rnacentral:rRNA from 2 species
GAGUUGAUCGUGGCUCAGAUUGAACGCUGGCGGCAGGCCUAACACAUGCAAGUCGAGCGGAUGACGGGAGCUUGCUCCUUGAUUCAGCGGCGGACGGGUGAGUAAUGCCUAGGAAUCUGCCUGGUAGUGGGGGACAACGUUUCGAAAGGAACGCUAAUACCGCAUACGUCCUACGGGGAGAAAGCAGGGGACCUUCGGGCCUUGCGCUAUCAGAUGAGCCUAGGUCGGAUUAGCUAGUUGGUGGGGUAAUGGCUCACCAAGGCGACGAUCCGUAACUGGUCUGAGAGGAUGAUCAGUCACACUGGAACUGAGACACGGUCCAGACUCCUACGGGAGGCAGCAGUGGGGAAUAUUGGACAAUGGGCGAAAGCCUGAUCCAGCCAUGCCGCGUGUGUGAAGAAGGUCUUCGGAUUGUAAAGCACUUUAAGUUGGGAGGAAGGGCAGUAAGCGAAUA